GAUGAACGCUGGCGGCGUGCUUAACACAUGCAAGUCGAACGAAGCAUUUAGAACAGAUUAUUUCGGUAUGAAGUUCUUUAUGACUGAGUGGCGGACGGGUGAGUAACGCGUGGGUAACCUGCCUUGUACUGGGGGAUAGCAGCUGGAAACGGCUGGUAAUACCGCAUAAGCGCACAAUGUUGCAUGACAUGGUGUGAAAAACUCCGGUGGUAUAAGAUGGACCCGCGUCUGAUUAGCUAGUUGGUGAGAUAACAGCCCACCAAGGCGACGAUCAGUAGGCGACCUGAGAGGGUGACCGGCCACAGUGGGACUGAGACACGGCCCAGACUCCUACGGGAGGCAGCAGUGGGGAAUAUUGCACAAUGGAGGAACCUCUGAUGCAGCGACGCCGCGUGAGUGAAGAAGUAAUUCGUUAUGUAAAGCUCUAUCAGCAGGGAAGAUAGUGACGGUACCUGACUAGGAAGCUCCGGCUAAAUACGUGCCAGCCGCCGCCGUAA
rnacentral:rRNA from 1 species